rnacentral:rRNA from 1 species
GAGUUUGAUCCUGGCUCAGAAUGAACGCUGGCGGCGUGCAUAACACAUGCAAGUCGAACGAGAAAGCCCGGCUUGCCGGGUGAGUAAAGUGGCGAACGGGUGAGUAGCGCGUGGGUAACCUGCCCUUGAAUCUGGAAUAACCCGCCGAAAGGCGGACUAAUACCGGAUAUUGUCCCGGAGUCGCAUGGCUCUGGGAUGAAAGAUGACCUCUUCACGAAAGUUGUCGUUCAGGGAGGGGCUCGCGUACCAUUAGCUAGUUGGUAGGGUAAUGGCCUACCAAGGCGACGAUGGUUAGCUGGUCUGAGAGGAUGAUCAGCCACACUGGAACUGAAACACGGUCCAGACUCCUACGGGAGGCAGCAGUGAGGAAUUUUGCGCAAUAGGGGAAACCCUGACGCAGCAACGCCGCGUGAGUGAAGAAGGCCUUCGGGUCGUAAAGCUCUGUCAAGUGGGACAAAAUCCUGUGGGUAAAUAGCCCGCUGGAGUGAUGGUACUGCUAGAGGAAGCACCGGCUAACUCCGUGCCAGCAGCCGCGGUAAUACGGAGGGUGCAAGCGUUGUUCGGAAUUACUGGGCGUAAAGCGCGUGCAGGCGGUUCGGUAAGUCAGAUGUGAAAGCCCUGGGCUCAACCCAGGAAGUGCAUUUGAUACUGCCGAGCUAGAGUAUGGGAGAGGAGAGUGGAAUUCCCAGUGUAGAGGUGAAAUUCGUAGAUAUUGGGAGGAACACCCGUGGCGAAGGCGACUCUCUGGACCAAUACUGACGCUGAGACGCGAAAGCGUGGGGAGCAAACAGGAUUAGAUACCCUGGUAGUCCACGCCGUAAACGAUGAGAACUAGGUGUAGCGGGUAUUGACCCCUGCUGUGCCGUAGCUAACGCAUUAAGUUCUCCGCCUGGGGAGUACGGCCGCAAGGCUAAAACUCAAAGGAAUUGACGGGGCCCGCACAAGCGGUGGAGCAUGUGGUUUAAUUCGACGCAACGCGGAAGAACCCUUACCUGGACUUGACAUCC